rnacentral:rRNA from 1 species
AUUGAACGCUGGCGGCAGGCUUAACACAUGCAAGUCGAGCGGGGAAAGGUAGCUUGCUACCUGACCUAGCGGCGGACGGGUGAGUAAUGCUUAGGAAUCUGCCUAUUAGUGGGGGACAACAUUCCGAAAGGAGUGCUAAUACCGCAUACGCCCUACGGGGGAAAGCAGGGGAUCUUCGGACCUUGUGCUAAUAGAUGAGCCUAAGUCAGAUUAGCUAGUUGGUGGGGUAAAGGCCUACCAAGGCGACGAUCUGUAGCGGGUCUGAGAGGAUGAUCCGCCACACUGGGACUGAGACACGGCCCAGACUCCUACGGGAGGCAGCAGUGGGGAAUAUUGGACAAUGGGCGAAAGCCUGAUCCAGCCAUGCCGCGUGUGUGAAGAAGGCCUUUUGGUUGUAAAGCACUUUAAGCGAGGAGGAGGCUACUUGGAUUAAUACUCUAGGAUAGUGGACGUUACUCGCAGAAUAAGCACCGGCUAACUCUGUGCCAGCAGCCGCCGCAGUAA